AAAGAAAGAGGGAGGAGGGAAAAGAAAGGGGAAAAGAGGCUCUUCUCAGAGUGUCUUUUCUUAUUGUUUGGCUUUUCUUUUUUUUUUCUCUUCUUCU
rnacentral:ribozyme from 13 species